GCGGGUUUAGCUCAGUUGGGAGAGCGUUAGACUGAAGUUGAAACUUCGGGAAUCUUGUCAUCUAAAGGUCGCCUGUUCAAGCCAGGCAACUCGCA